rnacentral:rRNA from 1 species
UAGUCCACGCCCUAAACGAUGCGUACUGGAUGUUGGGUGCAAUUUGGCACGCAGUAUCGAAGCUAACGCGUUAAGUUCGCCGCCUGGGGAGUACGGUCGCAAGACUGAAACUCAAACGAAUUGACGGGGGCCCGCACAAGCGGUGGAGUAUGUGGUUUAAUUCGAUGCAACGCGAAGAACCUUACCUGGUCUUGUCAUCCGC